rnacentral:lncRNA from 1 species
AGAGAUUCAAUUGACCUGCGGAAAAACAAAUGGCAACAGAGGCGUAAGGUCGAAGGUCCCAAGAAGAUCGAGGAGGUUCACAGGGAUGCAGCUCAAGAAAGGCAUGCUCAAUCGAGCAGGCUAGGACGUGGUCCAUCUGUUAGUUCUCUUCCAAGAAGAGGAGCACCUCCUAUGGAUUAUGGCCCCCGCGGCUCAUCUGCAUUAGCAUCCCCAAGUUCCCAACAAGGGAGCAUUCGAGGAAUGCCUCCACAUUCGCGUUCAUUUGGUGGUUCACAAGAUAUCCGGUUUGAGGAAAGGCAUCAAUUUGACAGUAGAACACCUCUUCCUCAGCGUGCAGUCAAGGAUGAGCCUAUCACUCUUGGCCCACAGGGUGGCCUUGCUAGGGGUAUGUCUAUAAGAGGGC